rnacentral:tRNA from 1 species
GAAGGCGUAUCAUAAGGAUUAAUGUAUUCCCCUUACACGGGAAUUAAGGGGCGGAGCCCCCGCUUUUAC